UUGAAAGGAACUCUCUCCAUUUCAGAACUCCUCUGUUUUAUUUAUUUAUUUAUUUUCCUCUGUUCCUCUAUUUUCUUUCAUUUGUUGCCAAGUGUUUGAAAAGUAAUUGAAUGUUGCAGUGUAGAUAGGUAAUGUUACAUUUACUAUUUAAAUAUGUAAAUUUUGGAGAGCAGAUUGAAAAAUGGAAUGUGAUUCAAGAAGGAGGAAAAAAAAAAAAGAUUGAAAAUUGGAAUAGUAUUUUUCUUAUUAUGAAUCAGGAUGUGGAUAAAUAAUACAAUAUUCAAUAAGUUUGAUUUGUUCACGCACUUCCCCAUUUAUCUAAUGUCCACAUCUCAAUGACAAAUUAUAAUUUCUUGUUAUUUUUGUUUUGUUCCUUGUUAAAGAAUCUAAUGGUUUCUGGCUAGUAGUAUUAUGGACGUCGAGCUAUUGUCUUGUUAACUUGAUAAUAAAAUGCAUCAUCUAAAAUCUUGUUAUUGCAUCUAGAAUUUCUUUUAGUGAUUCAUUAGUUUUUCAAAUUAUAACCCAUUAUUUUGCCUCGUCUUUUGUUUCAUGUACCCUGCAUUUGAUCAAACCACUAAGGAAAUGAAAUAUAACUUGCAGUUUGGAUUUAAUUCUUGAUGGUGAUAUUUUUGAGUGAGUGAAUCUAAUAAAAGAUCGCCUUCUGCCUUGGAGUCAUUUUCUGGUUUUAGCAAGAGAUUGUUUUAUUCCCUGGUCAAUUUUCUGCUGGAAAAGAGGUGGUUUGGUCUAGAUGGUCAUAUAUCCUACACUGGGUGGUUAGACUGAAUUUACAUUUCUUUGUUAAUAACCCAACCCUUUUUCUUUUUACUCCCUUAUCUUUCACAAAUAAAAGUAAUAAGCAAACAAAUAUACAAUUUGGCAUUGGAAUGAAAGCUUGUUUUCAUCCAUGUGUAUACAUAUAUAUUUAUAUAUAUAUAUAUAUAUAUAUGUAGAAAAACUAUUGUUUUGAGUUUGAGACCAUAAUUUAAAUAAAUUAUACAACAUCCUAAAUUUUGUAUUUUUCUUAGUUUUUGCAAAGGUUUGGUUUAAUUUAUGGAUGUUGAUUAGUAGGGUCCUCAUGAUUGGCACCAUCUUAGAACUUAGAAACUUUAUUGGAUCAAAAUGUUAAAUGUUCAAAGGAGAGAAACUUUAACAGUAGGGUUUUGAAACCAAUUUUAGACUUAAAAAUAUCUUCUACUAAAACUUAAACAUCAACCAGUAGGAGGAAAAAGUCAUUAAGAAACACAAAUUUAUAAGGAGUCACAACUUUUUUUUUUUUAAAUAAAAUAUGCUAACACAUGGAAAAUAUUUUGGAAGCUCUAAUCAUUUGGUUGUUGGGAAUAUGAUCAAGGAAGGAACAAAUUAGACAACUCAUGAAACUAUUAAUCUAGAUAUAAUUCUUUUAGUCAAUCUAACAUAAGACUGGGCAAAACCCGACUAGGACCGACCAACCCAUCCGAACCGAACUAUUUGGGUCGGUUUGGGUUGGUUUUUAAGUCUUAAUCGGGUCGGUUUGGUUACAGAUGCAUUGGAUCCGUGGUUUUCGGUUCGGGUUACAGGUGGGUAGAAAAUUUACCCAACCCAAACCGAACCGACCCAUACCAAUCGUCUCUCGUCUCUUUCAUUUCCACCUCUCCAGGAAUUUGAUGCUUGAAAAUUUAAAAGAAAAUCUCUUGCUCUCUGCCAAUCGAAAUCUCUUGCUCUCUGCCAAUCUGCCUUCAGGAAAUCUCUUGCUCUUUGCCAGUCUGCCUUCGUCUCUCCUCUCUUUCCACCUCUCCAAGAAUUGGAUGCUUGAAAAUUAAAAAGGAAAUCUCUUGCUCUCUGCCAGUCUGCCUUCGUCUCUCGUCUCUUUCCACCUCUCCAGGAACUUUUCUAAGAUCUAGCCAGUGGUAUUUGAAGAGAAGGGUACCAUUCGAGCUUCAAUGGUAGUUUCUUAACAUCACUAUUUACAACAUAGGUUGGUUUGUUAGCUAACUGAGCUACUCACUGUUGGUCUCAACUAGAAAGCAUCCUGAGAGGAACAAGAAGGAUAGGAUUCCAAGUUCCGUUUGAUUUUGGUGGUUGAGAAAUUUGGAGGUAAGUUAUUAGACUUUUUUCUCAUUAUUUUUGCAUCAAUUUGUGAAAUUUGAAGUUCAUUAGAAGUGGGAAGGUGAAAAUUAGUUUUGGAAAGUGUAGUGAAGCUUAGGUUGUGAAAUUGUUUGCUGUGAAGUUUGGAGAUUGUGAAGUGAAAUUUGUGUUAUUUGAUUUCUAUGAAGUUAUUAUGAACAAUGUGUGAAUCUCAUAUUGAUUGCAUCCACAACAUCAAAACAUCAAACCAUUAAAUGUGUCAUCUGAUAUGCAUCUAAAAACCCUUCACAUUUUUCUUCUAUUUGAUAUGGACUUUACUCCUAAAUCUUUUAAAACUGAUCCUAAAUUUAUUUUUCAUUUUUUCUGUUUUUUUCGAUUGAAGGAUUUGAUUCUAAUGUGUCAACAGAUUUUUUUUUCUUUUUUUUGUCCUUUUUUGAG